AGGUGAAUCAUGGUUACAAAAUAAUUUACCCUUCAACAUACGUAAGGUGUAGGAUUAUUCAGUUCACAAGAGGGUCAAUUAUUGUCAACAUGACCCUUAUUUUCAAGAACCAGACAGUGGUUCCCAAUGUAACGAGUGUGGAGCAGGGAUUGAAUGACUCUCUGUCUCACGGGAACACCUUCCUUGACAUUGACACAACCUCCAUUACUGCAAGAACUACAACUUCUGCAGCCACCACAUUUGCCGCAACUACCACAGCCACCCCCACAACAACAACAACAGCUGGUCCUACACCAAACACAGCUGCUUCAACAACAUCUGUUGUUGAAUCAACAAUAAACAAUGCUGCCGCCUCCAGUGGAAUAAGCUACAAGACAAGUCUACUCAUCUGUCUUGUUAUGUUGUCACAACUGCUUGACUAAUACUGAUAUAACUGAUCACCACUGUGACAGGGAAACUUACCAACAAUGUAAUCAUAUUAAUUAUUAGAACUGUAUACUAUUUAUUAUUAUUUAUUACCCCAAAAUGUACAGGGAAAAGAUUAAUUGCUAUGGAGAACAUGAGAAUAUUGAACAGCUUGAGGAUAAUGUAAGAAAAAAGAUAGCUGUUCUACCAAUUAUCAACAGGAUUCUAAGAAUCUUGAUAGUUAUUCCUUCUACUUACUGCACUAAUACUUAUUGUAUCUGAAUGGUGUAUUUAUACUGUUUUGUAAUUCACUAUUACUCAUACUUUGAAUGAAGAAAAUGCUGGGUUCGUUUUCUGUACCUGAUUAAUGAAGAAAUUAAAUUAAAUGCAAUCCAUUACCUGAAAAGACAUUCACUUCCCUUAAGUUACAUUUCAAUAAUUAUU